GUGCUUGUUUCGGCAGCACACAUACUAAGAUUGGAACAAUACAGAGAAGAUUAGCAUGGCCCCUGCACAAGGAUGACAAACAAAUUCAUAAAGAGUUCCAUAUUUUU
ensembl:snRNA U6 U6 spliceosomal RNA